CGGAGGAUGCAAGCGUUAUCCGGAAUCAUUGGGUUUAAAGGGUCCGUAGGUCGGUUUAAAUAAGUCAGUGGUGAAACGCCCAUCGCUCAACGAUGGAACGCCAUUGAUACUGUUAAACUUGAAUUAUUAGGAAGUAACUAGAAUAUGUAGUGUAGCGGUGAAAUGCUUAGAGAUUACAUGGAAUACCAAUUGCGAAGGCAGGUUACUACUAAUAUAUUGACGCUGAUGGACGAAAGCGUGGGGAGCGAACAGGAUUAGAUACCCUGGUAGUCCACGCCGUAAACGAUGGAUACUAGCUGUUCGGAGCAAUCUGAGUGGCUAAGCGAAAGUGAUAAGUAUCCCACCUGGGGAGUACGUUCGCAAGAAUG
rnacentral:rRNA from 1 species